rnacentral:rRNA from 1 species
AUGUGGAUUACCUACCCGAUAAGGUUCUGCACAACUAAGGAAGACGUGGAGCUCCCCGACCAUGUAGGUGCACAAGAGAAAACGAGUGGGGUGUGUGUGUGGGAGAAGGAGCCCGAGAUUACUGGCGAGUCCGUCGGCCUGCGCUGCUGCUCACUGACGCCUCCCACACUGCUCCUCCGAUGGCCUCUUCUUCUUUGUCUGCACAACCUAUGCUACUAUGUGGCCAAGGAUGUCUGCAAGUGUAAUUAUUGGUCAAAUAUACUGGAGUAUGCAUUCUGGAUGUUUGCUCUCUUGGAAAAUGAUGCAUUGUUUCUCAGCUUUACCUGUCAAACUAUGCUGAAUGAACAUGGUCAAUCAAUCAGAGUAGUAGUUGGAGCAUUGACUGGUGACUUUGCAAAGGAGCUGGACAUGCAGGGGCAUGGGAUCCCUGUGACAGUGGCCAACACCACCUACAUGGGCAUGAAUGCCCUCCACUCCGCCUGCUGCCUUGGCAAGCUGCUGGUCUACCAGUAG